UCACCCGGGCACGCAGGAGACGAGCUUCCACUAGCUUUUGCUGGAAGAUGUUGACAUGCUGCAGCCCCAGAUUCCAGACUCCAAAUAAAUCUUCAGUUGCCUGAUAAUCGUCUCCCCGCCAGCUUCUUCCCACCAAGUGCUGUUCCACGGGGUCAGCUGAAAUGCAGAUUCUCCAGGAAGGAUGAUGGGCGAUCAGUGGGGAUCUUUCUGACCCAGGGGAUCAAACCCAAGUCUUUUGCAUUGGCAGGCGGGUUCUUUACCACUGAGCCACCUGGGAACCCUUAGCCACUGGACCUCCAGGAUGGAAAUUCUGUGAUAAUCACUUCAUGGUGUUUGUGAGUCAGAUCGUGACUCUGUAUGCCUUACACCUACAUGCUGGAUGUCAGAGAGAUAUCAGUGAAACUGGAAGGAAAAAAAUAAAGAAAA
rnacentral:sRNA from 1 species